AGUCAGAUGGAAUACUUUGCGCUCGAAUGAAAGACGUUUGUGAGAGAAAUAUUAAAUAUUUUGUUUCAUGGUAUUCAUACAACAGCUCUAAGAAUUAUAUCGGAUAAUAAAAGAAUAGUAUGUGGAAAAAGAGAAAGAUAUAGAACUAAUUUUAACGGUGAGCAUAAUUUGCUGAGAAUGGAGUUUACGUGACGCGUUCUGUACAUGAUGCUUACCAGACAAAAAUCUUACAGCUGUAUAAUCAUACUUAUAAUGUUUUCUCUAAAUAUAGCAGAUGGUCUGCGAUGUAAAUGGUCAAAUGAGAAUUGUGAUUCGGACUCUCAGUGCUGCAGUUCUCGUUGUGUGAAGUUACACGAAGGAACUAACCCUCGUUGUGCAAGUUCUCCAAUGCACUAUCCGUGUUUCUUCAGCUAUCAGUGCGAGGACGGACUUACAUGUGGGGACUAUUAUACUUGUUGUGCUCCGUUUUGGGGUGUAUGUACUGACAAAGAUGAUUGUUGUGACCCACAGUACGUGUGCCGGGAGGAAGAUGGUUUCAUUUACAAUCGAUGCCUGUCGCCAAACGGUGCUCCAUAUUUGCCAGGAAGCUCAAUGCUCAUGUUGACAAUACAGGCUUAUUUUGUGUUGAACGUUUGGUACAAAUUACAUUUACAAUCAUGACAUAUGCAACACAUUUUGCCUUGUGCAUGCAAUUGCAUGUCAACUGUCUAUCGAACGCCUUCUGUUCAAUGCAUAACAUGAUAUCAUGUUAGCACAAAACAUGUACAAAAAUUUGACUAUAUUGGUUAUAUUGCUUACAAAGUAGAAAGUAUAAGUAUGACUUUGCUCAACAUAACAGCAUUUUGUGAUUAAUCACAUGUGUUAUACUGAUGUGGUAUACUGGUUGAUAUAGGGAAUACUUUACUUUUUUAUACAAGUCUAUAGUACACGGUGAACAUGUUUUGAUGUUUGCAUAUUAAAUAGUAAUUUUUGGACCUUGUUUGAACUAUUUUUAAGAAUGCGAAUAUAAUAAAUAGUUCAAAAGGCAGUUAAAUAAAAAAUAUAAUAUACGAAUAGCGGAAAUAUUUGAUUAUUUUAUUUUGAGAUCAUCGGAGAAUCUUAAAAUAUAUGUUUGGACAAAAAAUAUAUCAAAGUUGCAAAACUUCUGAUAUAUAAAGUAUAUAUGACUUUGAUAUGACAUAUCUUUUUUCGGGAACAUUUUCAACUUAAAUGUAACUGCAUAUCAAAAUCCUUCGUUUGCACAAAAGGAAAUAGUGAUAAUAAAGUACUAAUCGAAAAUGUGUUGUGACCGGGAAAAAUAAAGACUAUUUUCGAUGAUCAGGCAACCAAAACGUGACAUAGUAAAUCAAUUGGAAAGUUUCGUUGGUUAUAAAAUUCACUUUGCCAAGUUAAAGCAAAGUUAUUCAAAUUGUUUUGUGUAGCGAUUGGCCCAAUGUAAAAAUAAAACAUUAGUUACAAUUAUAAUAGCAGGAAUAAUAAUUUGAGCAUGUGUAUACAUGUAUAAUAAAAUCACCAGAAUGAUUGCUGUAAUAUAAUUAAAACAAUGAAAAUUGAUUCCUGUAUGAAAAUUAAAUAGAUAACAUAUAUGUUUUGAAUAGAUAAAUAAAUGUUUAUAUAUCUA